AGUGAACGCUGGCGGCAGGCCUAACACAUGCAAGUCGAACGGCAGCACAAGGAGCUUGCUCCUUGGGUGGCGAGUGGCGGACGGGUGAGGAUAGCGUCGGAAUCUGCCUAUUUGUGGGGGAUAACGUAGGGAAACUUACGCUAAUACCGCAUACGACCUACGGGUGAAAGCGGAGGACCUUCGGGCUUCGCGCAGAUAGAUGAGCCGACGUCGGAUUAGCUAGUUGGCGGGGUAAAGGCCCACCAAGGCGACGAUCCGUAGCUGGUCUGAGAGGAUGAUCAGCCACACUGGAACUGAGACACGGUCCAGACUCCUACGGGAGGCAGCAGUGGGGAAUAUUGGACAAUGGGCGCAAGCCUGAUCCAGCCAUGCCGCGUGAGUGAAGAAGGCCCUCGGGUUGUAAAGCUCUUUUGUUGGGAAAGAAAAGCAACCGGUUAAUACCCGGUUGUCAUGACGGUACCCAAAGAAUAAGCACCGGCUAACUUCGUGCCAGCCGCCGCGGUAA
rnacentral:rRNA from 1 species